CACAUUUAGAGACUGCUGGAUGGAACGAAAGCCGCUUUGGGGAUAUUAUUGUUCGACGGUUACCAGCAGUUCGUACAUUGCCGUUCGGGAGUUUGGAGCCGUUCGUGGAUUUCGAUCGGGAGAUUGCCGCUUCCCCUGCAUUGGGUUCGUGUGUUACAGAGUAAGCGAACGGAGACUGGACUGCAGCCGGGGAAGGUUUACUAAACGGCGGUUUUGCCUAAAGACACUGGAGGUG